UGAGUAACCUGCCCUUAACUCUGGGAUAAGCCUGGGAAACUGGGUCUAAUACCGGAUAUGACUCCUCAUCGCAUGGUGGGGGGUGGAAAGCUUUUUUGUGGUUUUGGAUGGACUCGCGGCCUGUCAGCUUGUUGGUGAGGUAAUGGCUCACCAAGGCGACGACGGGUAGCCGGCCUGAGAGGGUGACCGGCCACACUGGGACUGAGACACGGCCCAGACCUCCGUACGGGGAGGCAG
rnacentral:rRNA from 1 species